AUUAAUAGAUCAAAUCUAUCAAUCCUCUAAUAGAAAAAGCCUGUGUUUUACAAUCAGAAAGGAUUCAAUUGUCACCUUCAAAAAUAAAGUCUAUUUUUUGGCAACAUUUCAGUUAAAUAAAUAGAUCAUAGUAUUUAAAUUUACCAUUUCUGCCACCUAAUUUUUUUUUUUUUUUUUUUUUUUUUUUUUUUUUUUUUUUUUUUUUUUUUUUUUUGAGAAGAAGUCUCACUCUGUUACCCAGGCUGCAGUGCAGUGUCUCGAUCUCAGCUCAUUGCAAUCUCCACCUCCCAGGUUCAAGCGAUGUCUCAGCAUCCUGAGUAGCUGGGACUACAGGCAUGCACCACCACACCCAGCUAAUUUUUGUAUUUUUAGUAGAGACAGGGUAUCGCCAUGUUGGCCAGGCAGGCCUCAAACUCCUGGACUCAAGUGAUCCACCUGCACUGGCCUUCCAAAGUGCUGGGUUUACAGAAAUGGGCCACUGCACCUGGCCUCACUUAAUGUUUUAUAUAAGGAGUAGAUUAUAAAAACAGUGGCUUCGACACUUUAAUUCAGUCUAUAUUCACCAAAAAAGUUAGCUGAUCUCAGCUAUCCUUGAUUUUCAUAUACUAGAAAAUGUCUUUUGAGCCUGCUAAUUUAGACAUAGAAAAUCUGAUAAGUACCCUGAAUGUCAGUCAAUACAGUACCACAGAGAAUCUUUUGCAUAUAUACACAGAAAGAGAAGUUGAAGAACAACCAUUGCUGCAUUGCUGAUAACUGUGAAAAAAUGGGGGAUUAAAUAACUGCCCAUAAUUAAAAGAUUAGAUAAAUAAAUGAUUUGACAUAGCAUGUGAAAUGAAGAGGCUAGAUCCAUCUGUAAAUCUCAAAACCAUGAUAUUCAAUUAAAAAUUUGCUAAAAUACAUUUUGAUGCUAUUUAAAAAAUUUAAAAAUACCCUUGCUAAUACAACACAUGAAG
rnacentral:lncRNA from 10 species